rnacentral:rRNA from 1 species
UACGUAGGGUGCGAGCGUUAAUCGGAAUUACUGGGCGUAAAGUGUGCGCAGGCGGCCGCGCAAGUCGAGUGUGAAAGCCCCGGGCUUAACUUGGGAAUUGCGCUCGAAACUACGUGGCUAGAGUGUGGCAGAGGGAGGUGGAAUUCCACGUGUAGCGGUGAAAUGCGUAGAGAUGUGGAGGAACACCGAUGGCGAAGGCAGCCUCCUGGGCCAACACUGACGCUCAUGCACGAAAGCGUGGGGAGCAAACAGG